AUUGGGCGUACAACAUUGGGGACGUGUCCCCAGCGUGGAGCUCAGGGAAAUGAACCUCACUAAUAGCAAGUUUAUUAUAGACUUGGAAAAGUGGAACAUAAAGCGUUGGGUGGAGUUUGGUAGGGUAUAAUUCAUUUUAUGCAGCCGAAGAAGUCAGACCCA
rnacentral:ncRNA from 1 species